CACGUAGGGCGCAAGCGUUGUCCGGAAUUAUUGGGCGUAAAGAGCUCGUAGGCGGUCUGUUGCGUCCGCUGUGAAAACUCGGGGCUUAACCCCGAGCCUGCAGUGGAUACGGGCAGACUAGAGGUAGGUAGGGGAGAAUGGAAUUCCCGGUGUAGCGGUGAAAUGCUUAGAUAUGACAUAGAACACCAAUUGCGAAGGCAGCUUACUACACAGUUAUUGACGCUGAGGCACGAAAGCGUGGGGAGCAAACAGG
rnacentral:rRNA from 1 species